GUAGGUGGCAAGCGUUGUCCGGAAUUAUUGGGCGUAAAGCGCGCGCAGGCGGUUCUUUAAGUCUGAUGUGAAAGCCCACGGGCUCAACCGUGGAGGGUCAUUGGAAACUGGAGAACUUGAGUACAGAAGAGGAAAGCGGAAUUCCACGUGUAGCGGUGAAAUGCGUAGAGAUGUGGAGGAACACCAGUGGCGAAGGCGGCUUUCUGGUCUGUAACUGACGCUGAGGCGCGAAAGCGUGGGGAGCAAACAGGAUUAGAUACCCUGGUAGUCCACGCCGUAAACGAUGAGUGCUAAGUGUUAGGGGGUUUCCGCCCCUUAGCGCUGCAGCUAACGCAUUAAGCACUCCGCCUGGGGAGUACGGCCGCAAGGCUG
rnacentral:rRNA from 1 species